GACAAACUCAACCAGGAGAUGCAUGGCUGAGAGAGAGAGCAGGAUGCUGGAGACAUACACACACACACACACACUGAUGCACACAUUCAUUCAGACAGUAAGGCAAGCAAGAACAUGUAACAUAUGCACACACACACACACACACACACACACUCUCUCUCUCUCUCUCUAGAUGACAGGGAGACGCUGUAAAGACACACUCCACAGUUCUCAGUGGAUGGACCGGUCCACCCUAGGUACCAGACAGGGGGAGCUGGAUAACCCAAUAAGAAUGAUGCUGGAUUAUGGUUUAUGGAAAUCUAAAUCAUGGAUGUGUUGACUGUUGACCUCUGGAUUGUGGCUGAUCUGAUGGUGUUUGUUUUGCUAUUGGUCAUUUUUGCAUUCUGAGGGGUUUGACCUCUUGACAGGAGGAGCUUUCACAUGUGUCUGCCUUUUUCUGAUCAUCUGCCUCUUCCUCUCCUUCCCCUUCCUCCUCACUCUGUUUCUGUACAUGUCUGUGCUCAGUCCUCUCCUACAGUCUGGACUGAUUCUUGACGUUAGUGUAAAAACCCUUUGUGGUUCCUGGUGGUAACUAGUGGAAAUGUUUGCGGAAUGUUUGAAGUCUAAUUCUAGUUUUUUUUGUUAAAUCAUGUUACAUGUUACAUGAUUUGAAUGAUCAUUAAUGAUGAUGGUAAAAGUGAUGACAAUGACAGUUAAUGGUACACGAGACAUUAGUCAGUAGGACAUUGGGUUCCACAAGGCUGCCUGUCACCCCUAGGUGACAUUUAAUCCUGAUGUUUCAGUUGACUGUGAAGACUGCUGGGGAACUUGGCUGUGUCGUGCUACUUUGCAAUGAAACACAAGGAAUGAAGCAAAAAUCAAGUCCAACAAUCAAGCAAAAAAAUAUGCUGCAUGAUGGAUUUUUUUUUUGUUUAUAUACAUUUACUGGCUGCCUUUCUAACCAUAAACAGGCUGUAAAAAGGCUUCUGGAGCUCUGCCUCUACACAGCACUAGUUACCAUAGACAACAACAAAGAGCUCUCCUUUUGUUUGUGUUUACCGGACACAAAAAGCAUGUUUACCAGUGUUCAGUUUUACGGUGUACAUUUGAAAUGAAGCCAAAUCCGAACUUUGUAUGUGUGAUUGCAAUAACCCUUCAGGAAGGAAAGGUUUACAUUUCCAUGAUUUGUUUAUUGGUCACGGUAGAGUAGAGGGUUACAAUAGUGACAUCACAUCUUGUGACAGUGACCUUAUCAUUAGAGGUCUGCUGCAGACUGGAACUGUGGGAUCAGAUCAGAAUAGAACCCAACACAGCAGGGAGGGAGAGGAGGGGCAAAAAUAUAUUUGGACACAAGUGCACUUUGAUACAGGUCAACUAUCGGAGGUUGAAUAUGUUAUUCUCUGUAAAGAGAAACGCUGACAGGAUUUCAGUAGCAUAUACGCUGCUAGGUUAAUGUGGCAUCAGAACUAUUUACCAAUGUGAUUUGAAUAGACAGGGCACUUAAUAUUCACAACAAGAAGGGUAUCAACAUGACAAUGAUUAAAGCUCAAUAUUUAAGGAGACAACUGGAACAGUUUAAGUCCAUUUGUUUCUCCAUCAUGAUCUUAUAAUGAAAAACUAUUUAAGAAAACAAAAAAACAUUCAACUGUACAAUACUUUACAAGUACCUAAAAUGAAACUGAAUUAAGGCCUCAAACUGUUAAAAAAAGGCAGUUCAUUUUGAAAACACAAUUCAUUAGUAAAACACAAACACUAUUGAGUAUUUUAAAUGUAGUUAAAAAGUCCUACUUUUACUUCGUAUGUAGACAAAGUCAAACAACAGACAAAAAAAUGUACCGUAAGGCCUAGAUUCAAUCAGAUCGUUAACCAGCGGAUGUUUUGGCGGUGUCGGAGGUGGAACUGCGUUGGAGCUGUCAAAUCAGUGAGCGGCUGCUCUUGAUCAUUGUCACGAAGCCACACCCGUCCCACCCUUCCCACCCUUCACACCCGUCACACCCUUCACACCCUUCCCACCCGUCACACCCUUCCCACCCGUCCCAUCCGUCCCACCCUUCCCACCCGUCCCACCCUUCCCACCCGUCACACCCUUCA
rnacentral:lncRNA from 13 species